GCAGGAAUCCGCGGGCCCGGAUGCUGCCCAGCUGACCCUCCUGCCCCGGGCCUGGCUGCAGAGAAAGUCUUCGGGCAGGAGGCCAUCCUGUUCCUGUCUUUAAAAUGAGCACAAUAAAAGGGGGCAAAUCCUCGAACGCGAACCUGAUCUCAUGUCACAGAAGCAACUUGCCAUGAAAUCCGCUAAUGCGCUGCGACUCGCCCACCAGGAUAAAUAACCCCAUCGUCCGUGUAAUCAGCACGUUCCCAAUGAAGUCGUUUUCCUAGAAUGCGCUCUCCGCCUGCCACACUUGAGGAAUCCAGCCCACAGAGGUUUCGGAAACCCAGUUUGAGUGAUUCCAGCCUAGACUGAAACCCUGAGAGCCUCCCAGGAAAGAGAGCCCGGCCUGGGCCAAGCAGUCGGACACACACACACACACACACACACACACACACACACACACACACACACACACGGACUGCGUAGCUCUUCGCAGGAUCGAAGGCUGGAUGCGGAUCUGGGAGGCGGUGGCUAAGCGAACCAGGAAGACUGUGACGGAAACCAAUACAGCAGUGUCAUCUUGAAAGUUAUUUGGAAGAACAGGACCUGGAGUCUGGGUUUGAAUCAAAAAAUUGUGAGCAAGGGACAGAUCACCCUGUAUUUCUCUGGAACGAGGCAGAACUGAGACCUGCUCAGCUGAACCAGCGUGGCCACAUAUUGGGGACUAGGAAAUUGUUCUCAGACACUGUAGCACACACAUCCUCUGACAGCGAGCUCACUCCUGCGCAGUGGGCUUCUGGUUCUGCCACUGCACUCCACAAACGCCCUACAGGCCUCCUCCAGGUUUUGCCAGGCAAAUGAAACGAGCACAACUCGAUAGUAAAUUAUUUUGUUCAGCCUUCUCUCUUUUUAUGAAAAUAAGAGGCAACACUUUGUCAUUUUUAAUCACAUAAGCAGACAAUAAAUCUAAUUUUGAUAUU
rnacentral:lncRNA from 1 species